rnacentral:lncRNA from 1 species
AAAGACCUAUCUUCUCUCACCAACUCACUAACCAACCCUCAGACUCUCUCUACGACCAAAAAAAGAAGAUAAAAAGAAAAAAAUUAGAAAGAAAAAGAAAAAGAGGACCUUUUCCUCUUCGGAAAAGAGAGGCCCUCACACUGAAAAAGAGAAAAAGAAAAAAGAAACAAAGAAGAGUAAACUUUUUCUUCUUCUUCGAACACAUGAGCCUCAUUUUUCUUCCUAGCUCACCACCAUCAUCCAAAACA